rnacentral:lncRNA from 1 species
ACAAACCAACCUGGACUCCCCAAGGGGCUCAGGGGGUGAGGGUCUCACUACAUUGUCCAGCCUAGUCUUGAACUCCUGGCCUCAAGAACCGUCUCACCUUGGACUCCUAAAACUGCUGGGAUUACAGGUGAAGAGGCUCUCCAUUCCACAUUCCCCACUGAUUUGAAGAGAUUCUCCAUGUUGGUCAGGCUGGUCUCGAACUCCUGACCUCAGGUGAUCCACCUGCCUCGGCCUCCCAAAGUGCUGGGAUUACAGACGUGAGCCACCGUGCCAGGCCCAUAUCCCCCUCCUGAUAAGACCCUCAGCUGCCAAUUUCUUGGAUUCUGUCUUUGGUGGAGUUUUGCUCUUCACUCUUGUCGCCCAGGCUGGAGUAUAACGGUGCGAUCUCGGUUCACUGCAACCUCCUCUGCCUCCUGGAUUCAAGCGAUUCUCCUGCCUCAGCCUCCUGAGUAGCUGGGAUUACAGGCUGUGCCACCAUGCUCAGCUAAUUUUGUAUUUGUAGUAGAGACUGGGUUUCACCAUGUUGGCCAGGCUGGUCUCGAACUGCUGACCUCAACUGAUCCACCUGCCUCAGCCUCCCAAAGUGCUGGGAUUACAGGCAUGAGCCACCAUGCCCGCCUCCUAACUCAUUCUUAAGGAUGCAUAUUAGAGUCCCUGACUCCAAGAGGCUUUCUUUGA